rnacentral:ncRNA from 2 species
GUCGACAGAAAGUGCACGUGCAUGUCGAUGCCGCCGGCGGUCAGGAUGCGGCCCUCACCGGCGAUGACGUCGGUGCCCGGGCCGAUGAGCAGGUCGGGGUGCACGCCGUCGGCGAUGUCGGGGUUGCCGGCCCGCCCGA